rnacentral:rRNA from 1 species
AACGAACGCUUGCUGCAUGCUUUAUACAUGCAAGUCGAACGAAGGCCCUAGCUUGCUAGGUGUCCUUAGUGGCGCACGGGUGAGUAACACGUGGGAACAUACCUUAUAGUACGGAAUAACUGCGGGAAACUGUAGCUAAUACCGUAUAUUCCAGUAAUGGGAAAGAUUUAUCGCUAUAAGAUUGGCCCGCGCAAGAUUAGCUUGUUGGUGAGGUAAAAGCUCACCAAGGCUUCGAUCUUUAGCUGGUUUGAGAGGAUGAUCAGCCACACUGGGACUGAGACACGGCCCAGACUCCUACGGGAGGCAGCAGUAGGGAAUAUUGGACAAUGGGGGCAACCCUGAUCCAGCAAUGCAGCGUGAGUGACGAAGGCCUUAGGGUUGUAAAACUCUUUCAUCGGUGAGGAUAAUGACAGUAGCCGAAGAAGAAGGACCGGCUAAUUCCGUGCCAGCAGCCGCGGUAAUACGGAAGGUCCUAGCGUUGUUCGGAAUUACUGGGCGUAAAGCGCAUGUAGGCGGAACAGAAAGUUAGAAGUGAAAUCCCUGGGCUCAACCUAGGAAUUGCUUUUAAAACUUCUGUUCUGGAAUUCAGGAGAGGAAAAUGGAAUUUCCAGUGUAGAGGUGAAAUUCGUAGAUAUUGGAAGGAACACCAGUGGCGAAGGCGAUUUUCUGGACUGAUAUUGACGCUGAGAUGCGAAGGCAUGGGUAGCAAACGGGAUUAGAUACCCCGGUAGUCCAUGCAGUAAACGAUGGGUGCUAGUCGUCGGACUUUUGUUCGGUGUCGUAGCUAACGCGUUAAGCACCCCGCCUGGGGAGUACGGUCGCAAGAUUAAAACUCAAAUAAAUUGACGGGGACCCGCACAAGCAGUGGAGCAUGUGGUUUAAUUCGACGCAACGCGAAGAACCUUACCAGCGUUUGACAUGGAAAGUACCGGUUACAGAAUGGUAACCUUCAGUUCGGCUGGCUUUCACACAGGUGCUGCAUGGCUGUCGUCAGCUCGUGUCGUGAGAUGUUGGGUUAAGUCCCGCAACGAGCGCAACCCUUAUCGUUAGUUACUAACAGUUCGGCUGAGGACUCUAGCGAAACUGCCGGUGAUAAGCCGGAGGAAGGUGGGGAUGACGUCAAGUCCUCAUGGCCCUUACACGCUGGGCUACACACGUGCUACAAUGGUAACUACAACGGGACGCAAUACCGCGAGGUGGAGCAAAUCCCCAAAAGUUAUCUCAGUUCGGAUUGCACUCUGCAACUCGAGUGCAUGAAGUUGGAAUUGCUAGUAAUCGCGGAUCAGCAUGCCGCGGUGAAUACGUUCCCGGGUCUUGUACACACCGCCCGUCACACCAUGAGAGUUGGUUUUAUCUUAAGUCAGUGCGCUAACCUUCGGGAGGCAGCUGCCCACGGUACGGCCAGCGAUUGGGGUGAAGUCGUAACAAGGUAGCCGUAGGGGAACCUGCGGCUGGAUCACCUCCUUUCUAAAGGAAAAAAAACUUUGAACUAAGUGUACGUUUAAAGUAACCACCGUCUAUUUGUUUUGCUUUUUUCAACUAACGUUGAUAAAGGGCAUUGAUUGGGCGUGUAGCUCAGUUGGUUAGAGCGCGCGCUUGAUAAGCGUGAGGUCGGAGGUUCAAGUCCUCCCUCGCCCACCAACACUGUUGGGGGAUUAGCUCAGCUGGGAGAGCGCCUGAUUUGCAUUCAGGAGGUCAGCGGUUCGAUCCCGCUAUCCUCCACCAACUUUUUAAAAUCGUAAAUAUGUAAGCUGAUAACACAGACGAAUAACUUGCACGAGUUGUUCGUCAAUUAAACAACUAAUAUAACAACAAAUAACUACAAAAAGUUAUUAACAACAAACUUUUCACUGUGUGUUAAUAAUUCAAGCGCGUAAGAGCAUUUGGUGGAUGCCUUGGCAUAAAGAGGCGACGAAGGACGUGACAGACUGCGAUAAGCUCGGACUUGCUGUCAAUAAGCUUAAUCCGAGAUCU